rnacentral:rRNA from 1 species
AACGAACGCUGGCGGCAGGCUUAACACAAGCAAGUCGAACGCCCCGCAAGGGGAGUGGCAGACGGGUGAGUAACGCGUGGGAAUCUACCCAGUUCUACGGAACAACUGAGGGAAACUUCAGCUAAUACCGUAUACGCCCUACGGGGGAAAGAUUUAUCGGAAUUGGAUGAGCCCGCGUUGGAUUAGCUAGUUGGUGGGGUAACGGCCUACCAAGGCGACGAUCCAUAGCUGGUCUGAGAGGAUGAUCAGCCACACUGGGACUGAGACACGGCCCAGACUCCUACGGGAGGCAGCAGUGGGGAAUAUUGGACAAUGGGCGAAAGCCUGAUCCAGCCAUGCCGCGUGAGUGAUGAAGGCCUUAGGGUUGUAAAGCUCUUUCAGUGGGGACGAUAAUGACGGUACCCACAGAAGAAGCCCCGGCUAACUUCGUGCCAGCCGCCGCAGUAAAAC